AUUGAACGCUGGCGGCAGGCCUAACACAUGCAAGUCGAACGAGUGGCGGACGGGUGAGUAAUGUCUGGGAAUCUGGCUGAUGGAGGGGGAUAACUACUGGAAACUGUAGCUAAUACCGCAUACCAUCGGAUGAGCCCAGAUGGGAUUAGCUAGUUGGUGGGGUAAAGGAUCACCUAGGCGACGAUCCCUAGCUGGUCUGAGAGGAUGACCAGCCACACUGGAACUGAGACACGGUCCAGACUCCUACGGGAGUCAGCAGUGGGGAAGAUUGCACAAUGGGCGCAAGCCUGAUGCAGCCAUGCCGCGUGGAUGAAGAAGGCCUUCGGGUUGUAAAGUACUUUCAGCGGGGAGGCGUUACCCGCAGAAGAAGCACCGGCUAACUCCGUGCCAGCAGCCGCGGUAAUAC
rnacentral:rRNA from 1 species